UGGGACCGCACCCCCUCUCGUCCUGGCUGCGUGGGCCCAGCUUUCCCUUGGCGCUGGAGACUCCGAGCCCGGCGGGUCCCAUGCUCCACGCGAGCAGAAUUCCCGCCGGUCUCCCGCCGGGGUGGCCAAAGGCGGUGGCGAGGAUGGCGGGCUCCGGGAGGCGCUCGGGCUCUGAGAAGCAGCUCAGUCCUGCGCUCCUCCCUCCGCAGUGAGGAGCCGGCAUUCCCGCGGGUCUCGGCGGCUGCGAGCGGGAAGCAGCGUGGGUCCCCGGCUCGGUUGCGGCGCGGCUGCUCACCUCGUCCGCCUCGCCUCCCGCAGCUUCCAUCUGGCACGGAGCUCUCCUCUGCGCGCCUCCUCGGCCCGUCUCGUUUUCCUUCUUUACCCUAUAGAACCCCCAGCGCAACUCCGUCGACCUCCAUGGCCUUGAGACAGUGUCCGGCGCGAGCAGAGUCGGACUGGCCCCGACUUCACGCCUCUCUCGGGCUCUCCUCCAGGGCAUUGCGGCCCAGAUGAGAAACUGAGUCUCCAGGAAGUUAAGUGACUUGCCCAAGAUCCAUGGAGCUGGGAUUCAAGCCUGGAUCUGCCUGAACCUUUCUGCCAAGACACGGAAUAGGAUCUCUCAUGGCUCUUGAGGAUGUGAUGGAUGGCUGUGAGGGCACAGAGGAGGCUCCCAUCUGGGCGAAUGACAACUAUAGGAUUUUCAUAUAAGUGGAACCAGGUCAGUCUGUGAAGGUCUUUAGAGGCUGCUCUGGGAUCCUGCCUUCUACUCCUCUGGCCAACAUAUGCCAAGGACCCAGAAGAAGAUGCAGAGGGUGCAGACCUGUAACAAUAGGAGGCGGUAGAACAAAAUGAAAGUGCAGAGAAAAGCUCGGAUAGCAGGAUCGGGAUCCAGAAAAGUCUCCAUAUGCUGGAGUGACAAAGUGAAUUUAGCAUGAUGAAAUGUCACAGGGAUGAAUGCUGGGGCCUAUCUCGACUACAGGAAAGAAUUGUAGAGAGGGACAGCAGCACAUGAGAAAGAGAUCUAGGAGUUCAAGGGCCGGUAAGUUCAGUCUGAGUUGAUGGGCUACAUUAAUAGAGGUAUGAGGUUUGAGUCAAGGGAGGGGGACCACCAUCCUGGUCCAGCCUGCUCUCUGCCUGGAGCAGUUUCUGUUGUACAUAGGUGGAGGGCAUGUGCUAUUUUCUGUUUUUUCAGCUCCUCUUCUUUUCUUUUGGUGGUGGUGGGGGCGUUCUUAGGGGAGCAGAACCCUUCUGGAGUUUGACCUUGGAUUCCAUCCAGGGCAACCCCCCAGAAUACCUUUGAAGGUGGAGAAGAAGCUGCAGAUUUUCUCACUUUUUUUGUGUGUGUGUAUGUCCACACCUGCAGCAUAUGGAAGUUUCCAGGCUGGGGGGUCCAACCAGAGCUGCAGUUGCAGCCUACAACACAGCCAUGGCAGUACCAGAUCUGAGCCACUUCUGCGAGCUACACUGUAGCUUGUGGCCACGCUGGAUCCUUAACCCACUGAGUGAGGCCAGG
rnacentral:lncRNA from 1 species